UAUUUUCUAUAUUAUAACAAAAACAUGUGGCAACCACAGUCAAAGCCAUUAUGGCCUGUUGACAGUUGAAUAUGGUCAAAGCUGAAUCUUAUGUUCUUCCAUUUCAGUCAUUUCCUAUCCAGGCGUGAUACACAUAGACUUGGUGUUAGUAUGUUAUGCAAUUUCUGAUGCAACCCAAUUUGUCUAUGAUAACUUUCAGUUAAAUGUGGAAGCUUUAGCUUACGGUCAGCAAAGACUUGUUAGUUAUUAUUGCAGUUUCAAAUGUACACAACAGAAUCAUACCACCAAACCAAAUUAAGCAAAGUUGUGCUAUAAAACCUUUUUGUUGUUGAUUUUGUAACAUUAAGGAUGCUUUUAUUCAUAGCAAGGGCUUUGAUACUAAUAAGUAAAAUUUUAUAUGAUAAAAAGGCAAUUUUGCCCUUGAUAACAUACAUAUUUUAAAACUUCUUAGAUGUUCUGCCCAAACUUUAUAUGCAAGAUAAAUUUUGAUCGAGUAAAGAAUGUCUUAUUACCUCCCUUGAUAGAUAGUCUCUUGUAUAAUAAACAUAAAAUCACAGGCACUAUUGGAUAUAUUAAUCCCAUUGUCUUUUCUUGCUAUUUAACUACUUUAUUUCAACCCUUAGACUUGCUAAAUUUCCAUUAUGAACUUGUCCAUCUUCCAACUUGGACAGUACGAUUGACUGUUAAAAGGGGUGCUUACCAAAGAGAUACUGACUGAAUGGCAAACAGUACAGAUGUUGAUCAGACUGCACGGAUGUGCAGGCUGAUCAAGAUGGAUGUGCAGGCUGAUCAAAAUCUACACUGGUCACGGAGGCAAAAUAUCAAAAAUCAAAGGAACUGUAAGACAUUUAAAGCCACAAUUUUCUUCUUUUACAGAUUCUAUAAUAAAGUUAUUUUAUCUUGUUAUAGAGAAAGGAUUUCAGAUAAUUACCUAAUAUAGAGUCAAUAAUAUCAAUCAGAUAAUAUAGCGGUCUAGACAAAGGGAACUGUCAAUAGGAACAGCUGUUUCUGAUGGUGACACAUCUGUCCUAUUAUUAUUAACAGUUAUUACGUUGAAAAUUUCCCACCACCGUUUCCUACAUUCUUAGCUUGUGCUAAUGGUAUUGGACGCAAAUCUGUGCAAAUUAACAUACUUUCAGUUCUUGUAAAUUACUGUUAUAUCGGUUACUACGUUCAUUUUUUCCCUUGUUUAUAGACUUUUACCCUAUUUACCAACUUUUGGGGCAGUUAAUAUACUGUGAAAAUGUUGAUACGCAAAAAGAAUUAUUCUCGGUGAAAGUAUUUUAGGGAAAAAAAUGAAUAUAUAUAUAUAUAUAUUAUUGGUGUAUCCAUUCGUUCGAUGUGUGGCAGAUGCAGGAUGCAUGAUUCAUGCAUGCCGUUUUGUAUGACAAAUCAGAAUUACUUGAAGUGACAGCAAAUAUGACAAUUUCUUUUGAGGUUUGGGCAAGAAUGUGCACCAAUGCAUUUGUAAAACUGUUUCUAAAUUAGGUCUUUGGAAAACCAAAUGGAAUGAUUUUAAAAGUUUCAUAACUGAAUGAAUAUUAAUUGCUAAUGGCAGUUACAUUAAUUAGGGUAAUUGUUUCCUAUUACACUACAGGAACUUGGGAAGACUUUUUUAUUAGCUAUAUGUGUCGCGCCAUGAGAUUUUUGGCCCAAAUGCGGCGUUACGUCAUUCGAGAAAAACCCGAUUAAAGUUACGUCACAAAAAUGUGUGGAGUUCAACACGUUUUCGCGUCAAUUAAUGCAUUUUAUCAAUUAACACUAUAUUAUUGGGACAAUAAACCAAUGAAGAGACAAACGUCAUUUAUCAAGCAUGUAUUGUAACAUUUCCGUGUUUUGCCAUUUCGUUUCAUUAUCAAAUAACUGACAAUUUAUCGCCCUUUGUAUCAACACGCCAUUUGUAAACAUGAAAGGUCGUGAGAAAGGAAACUUUUAAAUCGUAAUUUGACGAUUAAUUUAAAAGGGAUAAUGAAUGGUAUGGCGCGAUUUACAGAUCAACUGUUGAUCAACUACUGAGGAGCAUCUGGCAUAUUGGCAUGAUGUUGCUAUGACCUUAAACAAAAAAAAAAGGAAUUCUCAAGGCAUGUCUACAUACCACAUGUUGGAAGAGUUUGUAGAAUGGCUGAAGGAUGAAAGAAUUUCCAGAAAAAUAAAAUUCUUUAUGAAUUUGUGAAUGGAAAUGAAACCCAAGGACCUAACAUAUUUGCUGAGCAUCCAGUUGAAAGUAUGCCAAUGGAAUAAAGUGCAACUGUCACAGAAGUGCACAGAAUAAGGCCAUGUUUUCUGCAAAAGUUCAUCAAGCUGAUUUAAACUACAAAUGGGAGUCAAGUAAAAAGUAAAACUAACUGAACUGUCACAGUUCAACUGUGAGAAAUAUUUGGUAAAAGUAUGGUGUGUUGCCAGAACAGCAGUGAAGUGGUUAGAGUAAAACUGUCUUAAUUGUUUAAGCAAUACAGAAUUUUUUUUUUAAACUUCUCCAUGCAUAAGAUAUCUUGAGUGCUCUUUUUUAUUUAAAUAAUCAUACAGUUUCAAGAAAUUUGACAAUAAAUGCUAUUUUUAUUUUUAUAAGAAAAUAGUGCAUUGUUGCCAUGGUAUUAAACAUUAAUCUGACUAUAGAUUAUUGUAAAACAGCUUUCAUGUUUAUAUGUUCUAUUUGUCAAAAAAAUAAUGUAAGGUCAUAUCCUUUUCUUAAGUAAUAACUGCAUCAACAAAACAUUAUGUUAUCAUAUGAAUCUGCCUUGAACUAGCAAGAGUUGUAACUGUGUCUUGUGUAUCAGAAAAUAAUGUAUAUCCCAAAGUGUCACAUCAAUUUACAUGAAAUGAUGUUUUCUUACUUUUGAAUAUGAAGUAGACAGCUUUCGAUGUAAAUAGUAUUUUGAAAAACACUUUAACUUUCAGUUAUUUCAAGAACUUGAUAGAAAUGGUACUUUUGGUAAGAAAAUACAUCAUUGUUGCCAUGGUAACGAAUCACUGAUCAGUAUGACAUCUGUACUACUACCUUGAGCAAAAUCAGUUUAUAAUAUUUCUAAUAAUUAUAUCUUUUUGCAUGAUAUUCUGUCAAACAGUAACAAAGAAAUAUGCCAAUGAGUUAAGUGUUCUAACAACAACGUUAAUGUCCUAGUUUUGUCAUGCUAUCUAACUCGAUAUCUAGCAUAUCUAUUUUUCUACAAAAGAAAGCCAUAAGAUUUUUGCAAAAAGAACUGUUAUCUUUAAACACUGUACACUAGAAAAUGUUGACGGUAUAUUAACUACACAUUCUAGAUGUUAAUUUUGGCUGGAUUUAUCAAGGAACUAUUAAAAUUGGAUUUAACAACUGUGUUGCCAUGGGAACGAUUUUUAGGGGAAAAUAAUUUGUGCUAAUAUGAACAAAAGGAACAGAAAAAAAUAAAUUUAAUAAACUGCA
rnacentral:lncRNA from 1 species